ensembl:lncRNA
UAGUAAUAAAAAAUUGUAAAAAAGUAAUAAUCAAAAUAUAUUUUAUAUUUGAGAUUCUUCAAAGUAGCCACCUUGAUGACAGCUUUGCACACUCUUGGCAUUCUCUCAACCAGCUUUAUGAGGUAGUCACCUGGAAUGCAUUUCAACAGGUGUGCCUUGUUAAAAGUUCAUUUGUGGAAUUUCUUUCCUUCGUAAUUAUGUGUUUGGGGCAAUCAGCUGUGUUGAGACAAGGUAGCAGUGGUAUACAGAAGAUGGCCAUAUUUGGUCAAAUAUAAUAAAAGUCUAUAUUAUGGCAAGAAGAGCUCAAAAAAGCAAAGAGAAACAUCAUUACUUUAAGACAUGAAGGUCAGUCAAUCCGGAACAUUUCAAUAAGUCACAAAAACCGUCAAGUGCUACGAUGAAACUGGCUCUCAUGAGGACCGCCACAGGAAAGGAAGACCGGGAGUUACCUCUGCUGCAGAGGACAAGUUCAUUAGAGUUACCAGCCUCAGAUUGCAGCCCAAAUAAAUGCUUCACAGAUUUCAAGUAACAGACACAUCUCAACAUCAACUGUUCAGAGAAGACUGUGUGAAGAAGCCAUUUGUGUUUGAAUUGCUGCAAAGAAACCACUGCUAAAGGACAUCAGUAAGAAGAAGAGACUCGCUUGGGCCAAGAAACACGAGCAAUGGGCAUUAGACUGGUUGAAAUCUGUCCUUUGGUCUGAUGAAAAUUUUGGUUCCAACCUCCAUGUCUUUGUGAGACACAGCGUAGGUGAAUGGAUGAUCUCUGCAUGUGUGGUUCUCACCGUGAAGCAUGAAGGAGGAGGUGUGAUGGUGUGGGGGUGCUUUUCUGGUGACACUGUCUGUGAUUUAUUUAGAAUUCAAGGCACACUUAACCAGCAUGGCUACCACAGUAUUCUGUAUUGAUAUGCCAUCUGGUGUGCGCUUAGUGGGACUAUCAUUUGUUUUUCAACAGGACAAUGACCCAAAACACACCUCCAGGUUGUGUAAAGGCUAUUUAACCAAGUAGAGUGAUAGAGUGCUGCAUCAGAUGACCUGGCCUCCACAAUCAACCAACCUCAACCCAGUUGAGAUGAUUUGGAAAGAGUUUGACUGCAGAGUGAAGGAAAAGCAGCCAACAAGUGCUCAGAAUAUCUGGGAACUCCUUCAAGACUGUUGGAAAAGCAUUCCUCAUGAAGCUGGUUAAGAGAAUGCCAAGAGUGUGCAAAGCUGACAUCAAGGCAAAUAUAUUUGGAUUUGUUUAACACUUUUUUUUGGUUACUACAGGAUUCCAUCUGUGUUAUUUAAUUGUUUUGAUGUCUUCACUAUUAUUCUACAACGUAGAAAAUAGUCAAAAUAAAGAACAACCAUUGAAUGAGCAGGUGUGUCCAAACCUUUGACUGGUACUGUAUAUAAUCGUAUUCAUCAUGAUCUAAAAGUCAAAACUCCUAAUUUGUGAAUAUGGGCCUUGCAGUUACAGUAACAGUUGCAAUAUAUAUUCAUUAUGGUCAAACCCUAACCCUAUGUCAAUAUGCAGAGUGGAUUAAGACUAAACCAACCCUGCUCCUACACACAUGUCAAAUGCUCUAGCAAGGCUGCUUAAAUCACACUCACUUCAAUAGAGGGGUAUCAUUUAUUGAUGUGGUGUGCUGUCACCUAGGGUAUGCUUAAGCUCAGGGAACUAGGUCCCUUUGUAGUGCCUGUGAUUGAAUGCAAAACAACGACUGAUUAAAAGCUCAGUCAUUUAGCAAUCAAAGAAGAAUGGGCUCUCGGGUUAAAUGAAUAACAUCUCAGGAUCAAUUAAAGCAAGUAUGUCUUGAUUAAUUCACGGCAGAUUAGGACUGAAUAUACAUUAGGAAAGCAGGGUCAGAGACAGAACAUAUUGCACGGCAGACAUGUAAAACAUUGAAUCUGCUAAGACAUACAAAAUGAUCAAUUGCUGUAGAAUUGAUUCUCACACAUCAUCCCAAACGUUCUUAUCUUACAGGGAGGAGAGAGUAAACCAAUUAGAAUCCAGCUCCCUCCAAAGAAAGGCCUCCUGUCAUCAGCGUGCACACACCUCCAUGAUUUAUGAGCCAUCUGUCACGUCUGAUGUUCCUGUCGCCUCAGACAGGAUGUGCAAGCCUGGCAUGCGGAGACGCUCUGCGCGGGCACCGCAUGGGCACAGCAUGGUUAGGUCCACUGUAAUUAAAUUACAACCAAAUGUGCACCCAGAAGUCCCGAUGAUCCUAACAUCACAAAACAAAAGACAUUGGUGGAGAAAAUCAAAUGGUUAGGAAUGUUUGAUGUUGUCAGAGAUCCAAGAUAUUCUACACAGAAUUGGACUCGAAUAUUUCAAAACUAAUACCUCAUUGACCAACACAAUCUCACACUGCAAAUAUGUAAAAAAAAAAAAAAAAAAAGUAUUUCAACAGAUUUCGUGCAUUUAUGUGUGGAUUCAUUUGUGUGAGAAUUGUUGUGUGAUUGAUUGAUAGGUAGGUGAUAGGUGAUUGAUAGGAAAAUACAUUUUUUUGAGGGCAAACUUUGGAACAAUCUUUUGAAAGUUAUUAGAGCAAUGCAUGAUUGGCAUUGGUGUUGUUUGACACUGACAUUUUUUUGUAUCCCACAUUUAUUUAUAUAUACAGUACCAGUCAAAAGUUUAGACACCUACUCAUUCAAGGGUUUUUCUUUAUGUUUAUUAUUUUCUACAUUGUCGAAUAAUAGUGAAGACAUCAACACUAUUAAAUAACACAUAUGGAAUCAUGGAGUAAAACCAAAAAAAGUGUUAAACAAAUGUAUUUUAUAUUUGAAAUUCUACAAAGCAGCCACCCUUUGCCUUGUUGACAGCUUUGCACAUUCUUGGCAUCCUCUCAACCAGCAUCAUGAGGUAGUUACCUAGAACACAUUUCAAUUAACAGGUGUGUCUUGUUAAAAGUUAAUUUAAUGUGUUUGAGCCAAUCAGUAGUGUUGUGGCAAGGUAGUGUUGGUAUAUAGAAGAUAGCUCUAUUUGGAUAAAGACCAAGUCCAUUUUAUGGCAGGAAAAGCUCAAAUAAGUAAAGAGAAAUGACAGUCCAUCAUUAAAUCAAAUCAAGUUAAACCAUAUUUGUCACAUGAGCCAAAUACAACAGGUGUAGGUAGACCUUACUAUGAAAUGCUUACUAAAAAGCCCUUACGGAUUAGCCCCUUUUUAGAAUUUUUAGCCUAAAAUGACAAACCCAAAUCAGACUGCUUGUAGCUCAGGCCCUGAAGCAAAAAUAUGCAUGUUCUUGGU